rnacentral:rRNA from 1 species
GAUGAACGCUGGCGGCGUGCCUAACACAUGCAAGUCGAGCGAUUCACUUCGGUAAAGAGCGGCGGACGGGUGAGUAACGCGUGGGUAACCUGCCCUGUACACACGGAUAACAUACCGAAAGGUAUGCUAAUACGAGAUAAUAUGCUUUUAUCGCAUGGUAGAAGUAUCAAAGCUUUUGCGGUACAGGAUGGACCCGCGUCUGAUUAGCUAGUUGGUAAGGUAACGGCUUACCAAGGCGACGAUCAGUAGCCGACCUGAGAGGGUGAUCGGCCACAUUGGAACGGAGACACGGUCCAAACUCCUACGGGAGGCAGCAGUGGGGAAUAUUGCACAAUGGGCGAAAGCCUGAUGCAGCAACGCCGCGUGAGCGAUGAAGGCCUUCGGGUCGUAAAGCUCUGUCCUCAAGGAAGAUAAUGACGGUACUUGAGGAGGAAGCCCCGGCUAACUACGUGCCAGCAGCCGCGGUAAAAC